AACAGACAGGGCUGAAAAACAGAAGAAGAGUCAUUUAUGGAUGGAGAAAAAGCUGAGUAGAUAAGAAAAACAACGGAAGCAGCAGAGGAAGAUGAGGAAAAGGAAGAGAAACCAUCAUCCUCUGCUUUCAUUCCCAAGUGGCCUGGCAUGAGGACCAUCCAUCGCCUCUUCAUUUACUUUUCAAUUUAAAUUUACCGGUUUUCAAAAGGCUGACUUAAUGAUCAGAAGAUUUCAGCAACAUUUCUCUAAAUGUAAUAAUUUUUAACAGAAUCAGUUGGUGCUUUCACGUAAAAAAGCGAUUCAGUAAGAAUACUCACGGAAUCUGUGACAAAAUUCACAUUCAUACAGUAAGUAGCAGUUUUUCGAGAGUUAGACUUGCGUUUUUCCACGUUCAAUGAGCGGCGGUUGACACGCGGGAAAACACCUGCGGACGCACAAGGUUCAUACUGUAAAUACGGAGAGGAACCAAACGGAGCGCGGACACGAACAGGAACGCGGCAGUGAGAAAAUAUUUGGCGCGUGCACCGGCGAGGAGGUGAAUCCGGAAGAGCGCGUGAGCAAACGAGCGCAGAGGAUCUGUUCUAUGCGAUCAAACGGCGGUGCCAGUUACCAUUACAGACCACAGGGCCCGACCCACCAGAGGAAAAUCACCACAGACUGAGCAGAUGCAGUGAGCUGACACGCAGCUCUGGAUCCCACACGGUCUCAAGACGGUUUGGACACAUCUUUAAAAUAACAAGAAGAACACGCACACCAGGAACUAAACUAAAGAUGUUCCUAAUACAGCUGGAUUCUAGGUAACUCCAGAGAAAGAAACUGUGGGAGCCUCAACGAGAUACAAUAGAAGAUACAAUAGGACACACAGGAUUUAAAAAAACUGUCUAAAGCCUGAUUUCUUGUGUUCUACAUCAGCCUUCAGAAAACAACUUGAGCAGAGUAAAGUCCAUGCCCUGAACGGGUGAAAAGUUGACCCAUUCAUUGGAAAAGCUCACCAACGGUUAAAUGAACCCGGUCAAAGUACCGGUUUUAUGAGAAAUGGCCUCUAAUCCAAGACAAAGGGGGAGCGGGGAUCUUCAACCUCUGUUUUUUGAUUUGAGAAUUCAUGUACAGUCAUUUCUGAAACAGUCUAAUGACAAAGAAACAACCAACUGUCACAAGGUUUGUGCUGUUCAUUUCUGCUCCUAUUAAUUCAUUUAAUAAAAGCUUCAGGAGACACGG